GCGGGGGUGCCCGAGCUAGGUCAAAGGGGUCGGGCUCAGGACCCGAUGGUGAAGGCCUGCGUGGGUUCAAAUCCCACCCCCCGCACCA
rnacentral:tRNA from 1 species